CACGUAGGGCGCAAGCGUUGUCCGGAAUUAUUGGGCGUAAAGAGCUCGUAGGCGGUCUGUUGCGUCCGCUGUGAAAACUCGGGGCUUAACCCCGAGCCUGCAGUGGAUACGGGCAGACUAGAGGUAGGUAGGGGAGAAUGGAAUUCCCGGUGUAGCGGUGAAAUGCGUAGAUAUCAGGAGGAACACCGAUGGCGAAGGCAGCUUCCUGGCCCAAUUCUGACGCUGAGGUGCGAAAGCGUGGGUAGCGAACGGG
rnacentral:rRNA from 1 species